rnacentral:rRNA from 1 species
AUAUCAAUAAGCGGAGGAAAAGAAACCAACCGGGAUUGCCUUAGUAACGGCGAGUGAAGCGGCAAAAGCUCAAAUUUGAAAUCUGGUACCUUCGGUGCCCGAGUUGUAAUUUGGAGAGGGCAACUUUGGGGCCGUUCCUUGUCUAUGUUCCUUGGAACAGGACGUCAUAGAGGGUGAGAAUCCCGUGUGGCGAGGAGUGCGGUUCUUUGUAAAGUGCCUUCGAAGAGUCGAGUUGUUUGGGAAUGCAGCUCUAAGUGGGUGGUAAAUUCCAUCUAAAGCUAAAUAUUGGCGAGAGACCGAUAGCGAACAAGUACAGUGAUGGAAAGAUGAAAAGAACUUUGAAAAGAGAGUGAAAAAGUACGUGAAAUUGUUGAAAGGGAAGGGCAUUUGAUCAGACAUGGUGUUUUGUGCCCUCUGCUCCUUGUGGGUAGGGGAAUCUCGCAUUUCACUGGGCCAGCAUCAGUUUUGGUGGCAGGAUAAAUCCAUAGGAAUGUAGCUUGCCUCGGUAAGUAUUAUAGCCUGUGGGAAUACUGCCAGCUGGGACUGAGGACUGCGACGUAAGUCAAGAUG